rnacentral:rRNA from 1 species
UACGUUCCCGGGCCUCGUACACACCGCCCGUCACACCACGAAAGUUGAUUGCACCAGAAGUCGCUCUCGGGCGCCCAAGGUGCGGUCGAUGAUUGGGGUG